UUUGUAAGUAAUUCAGUGCCUCCUCACGCUUUGUGUAUCCCACCUUUCAGAAUACACUCUUCUUUUCAAACGGUUUUAAACUAGGUGUGCUUGUGCCCAGCAAACACAUGCUAAUUAGGCAAUACUUUUUUAAAAUACAAACAUCUGAUUUUAUUUUUAUGUGAGCAACAUAGUGUGAACUUUUUUUUAAAGCAGCUCAAUGAACUGAAGAGAUCAGGAGGGUUACUGCUAUCCAUGACAUCCCAUCACCACUUCCAAAGCACCACGUCCCCUCCAAGCCAGGCACAAACCGUCCCUGUGCUUUGUCACUCUUCUGUCACAACAUUUAAUUUUUUCCCUGAGUGUUUGCUUUCUCCCCAUGGCUGCCAUAUUCAUUGCUGGUCACCUCUGGCUGCUCCCCAGCCAACAGAGGACAAGUCCCUGUCACAGCCACUGCCAUGACCCAGAGCGUGUCAUUAGGCUCUUCCAAACACAGCCCUUCAAAGGCUUAAUGGCUUCUGACGAAUACAGCAUUGUCUUCCUGAGCCUAUGGGUUAACCAAGAUAACAUCAUCAUCAAGGUGAAGCGCCCCAUUCAUCUCGGUGCAUUACAGAUGCUGAAUCCAAAGGGAAGAGGUGUAAGUUGCUUAAGCAGCAGCUCAGUUUGAUGAUCAUUUUAUCAGAGCUUCAGUGGACGUGCUCCAUCCACAGCCCCAGACUGUCUAGGUGUAGGAUGGCCACUGCCAAGUGGUUGGCCCCUCCAGCUUUGUCCAGGAAGUUCUGGGCUUGUGAGGCCUGAAAAUAUCAAAAAGUCUCCAGCAUAUCAGAAACAUUGUGAUGUGGGGAAUGAGAGAUGAACACCCACCCACAGCCGAGCAGCACGAGAGCCUGGCAGGACCGAUCAGCAGCGCUGGCUUACACUUAGAAACUUUCCAUCAAGCACACGAAGAGCUGUUGUCCCACGGGGGCUCUGCAGUGGGACCUUAAGAGGGGCAGGAAGGCAGGUUCAGCCCUGGGAGAGCAUCUUAUGGUGGUGGGCAUGGUUUAGCAGCUGUAAGACACAGAACUACCUGACGGUCACACUUCUUCCCGUGACUUAGGCUCACCACACAGCUGUGUGUCAGGCAAAGCAAUAUGUAGGCACACAGUGUUCAAUCCAGAAGCAGGUCUGAGUGGAGAGUCUGGGCUGACCCACACAGGCGGCUGGGGUCCCACACAGGCCGUGCCUCCCCACAAUCU